CAGGUGGGAAUGCUUUUGCUCUUAAGUUACAGAGUCAGGUUCAAGCUCUGUAAAUCCAUUCCAGUCAAACAUUAGGCUUUCAGUGCACUCCCCCAGCCAGCUUUGUCCUCAAACAUUCCUUCACGACCUUACCCUGCUUAAAAUCAGCCCGGCCCCAUCCCCCAGGUCACCCUGGCUGCCUGCCCAUCCACACAUUUCUGUCUGCCUUUUGAGUGUUUUCAGAAGCCCAUUAAAUUGUGCCUUGGCAGGCCAGACGCAUUCAGCUCGCCCUAAGACCCAAAGAGAGAAGGUUAUCAAAUUCCCUCAUCUCUGCCAGACGUACAAAGCUGGAAGUUCUCUAGCGCUGCGAGGAAGCUCUGCAGUUGCACAGAGUAAGAUGUUAGAACUUGUAAACAUGUCAUACAAUAUCGUAACACGCCCGUGGGGCAGGAGCUGGGAGGGCAUGGGGACAGAGAGCCUGCCCUCCGUGGAGCUCUUAAUGCACCUUUCUGGGGUUGGUUUUUUUAAACAGCACAACUGGAAUUAGCUCCACAUAAAGAGGCUGAUGCUGCUUUCUUAAAUCAACCAGUCCUGACAAUUUUCUUUCUAUGAUCUUUGGUGGAUCUUCUUGGCCGGGAGAGGAAAACGGGGCACGACACUCUUGCACCUUCUACUGGAUAACAACAGAAAAGAGAGAGGAAAAGUUCAGUUCUCCCGUAUGGGUGUGACCUCGUGCACCGGCAGCAUCCAGUUUCAGGGGAGAAAUCUCAGAGCAGCAGAAAAAAGGUUCAGUUUCGUUUGGCGUGGCACGAAGCUAAAAGUGUAUGUUUUAAUGCUGAUACCCGCACCCUCCUGGCACCCCAUUCUGCAUGUGCUACUCCUACAUUAAUACAUCAAGCGUUUCAGUUUUGAGCAGAGCUAAAUUCUUCCAAAGCCAAGGACGGUAACAUGAACUUGCUGCAGGUUUGAUCUCCUGUUUUUUCACUUUGCUGAACGUUGUGUUUCCAAUUCCUCCUGCCACACACCACCACAUUCCCUGUGACAGCAGAAUCCUCAGGACACCUGAUGUCACUGUUAUAAACACCAUGGGCUGAGGAUACAACGUCACCAACUCCACCUAAUACAUAUCAGCCCACAGAGCAACAAAUAAUCUCCUUUUUCUUCUGGAGAAGAACCCAGGACCCAGGAGGCCGUGUCUGAGUGCAGACAAGAAGCUCUCAGCCACCUCACAAGCGUAUUUUUAAGGUUACACUGCAGCAGGUGGCUUUCCACUGAACAGCUUUAAAUGUCCUUUUGAGCUGCACGUGGUUCCAAAAGUACAACCCAGAGCAGAGCAAGUACUGAUGGACCAAUAUGUUUGGGAACUUCACACUGUUGGAUCUGGUACUGCCCAUCUCUGCUCUUAAAAACUGUGUUUCCAACUAAGCUAUUGAUGAGAAUAAAGGAAAAGUCACAAAAAUAAAGUUCUAUAAGGUUACCUUUUAAAUUAAAUGCCCUUCUAAAACAUAUCUCAGCAAUUUCUAUAACAAAUUUUUUUUUUCUCCUUACAAUAUUACUUUUUUUGGAAGGAAAUGGAUCUAACUACAUUUUUGCUUUGUUUUCUUUCAUAGAAAACAUACACUAAUUAUUAUCUGUCACAGCCUGAUUCAUUUUGGGAGACCUAGAAUUGA